UACGGGGGGAGCAAGCGUUGUUCGGAUUUACUGGGCGUAAAGGGCGCGUAGGCGGCCACCGCAAGUCGGUUGUGAAAUCUCUGGGCUUAACCCAGAAAGGUCAAUCGAUACUGCGGGGCUAGAGUGCAGAAGGGGCAACUGGAAUUCUCGGUGUAGCGGUGAAAUGCGUAGAUAUCGAGAGGAACACCAGUGGCGAAGGCGAGUCCCUGGACAACACCUGACACUGAGGCACGAAAGCCAGGGGAGCAAACGGG
rnacentral:rRNA from 1 species